rnacentral:misc_RNA from 1 species
GAAAUGCGAUACUUGGUGUGAAUUGCAGAAUUCAGUGAAUCAUCGAAUCUUUGAACGCACAUUGCGCCCCUUGGUAUUCCAUGGGGCAUGCCUGUUCGAGCGUCAUUUGUACCCUCAAGCUCUGCUUGGUGUUGGGUGUUUGUCCACUCCCUAGUGUUUGGACUCGCCUCAAAGCAAUUGGCAGCCAGUGUUUUGGUAUUGAAGCGCAGCACAUUUUGCGAUUCCAGCCUGAAUACUCGCGUCCAGUAAGCCUUUUUCCACUUUUGACCUCGGAUCAGGUAGGGAUACCCGCUGAACUUAA